AUGUGAUUGUGUAAAUCCUAGUAGAUAUGGGAAUGUAUCUUAUAUUCCUAUUAAGAAUAGAUUGCCUAUUGCAUGUUGUAAUCCUAAAGGGAAAGGUUUUUACCUAUCCUACUACUAUAAAUAAAGGCACAAUGGGGUGGAAUAGAACACACCCGCAAUUACACAUCUCUGUUUCUCUCUACUAUUGCCACACAUUCCCUUUCUCCUUGGCCUCCAUAAUUGUUCAAUAAAUUAUGCCUACAACAAAAAUACUAUUUUUCUUUUUGGCCACUUACUUUUAAAGGAAUAUAAAGUUACAAGAUAUGUUUGUAGAAAUGAGUCUCUUCAAAUCUAAAAAAUAAUAUAGAUAUGUUGCAGGAAUAUGUUGAAGAAUAUGCUGGAAGUUAGGAUGUUGGAUGUUCGACAGCUAGA
rnacentral:lncRNA from 1 species